rnacentral:rRNA from 1 species
UACGUAGGGGGCAAGCGUUAUCCGGAUUUACUGGGUGUAAAGGGAGCGUAGACGGCUGAGCAAGUCUGAAGUGAAAGGCGGGGGCCCAACCCCCGGACUGCUUUGGAAACUGUAUAGCUAGAGUGCAGGAGAGGUAAGUGGAAUUCCUAGUGUAGCGGUGAAAUGCGUAGAUAUUAGGAGGAACACCAGUGGCGAAGGCGGCCUGUUGGACGACAACUGACGCUGAGGCGCGAAAGCGUGGGGAGCAAACAGG